UUUCCGUAGGUGAACCUGCGGAAGGAUCAUUAACGAGAUUGGGUGAGGCGUGGGCGAGAGCCCUCGGAGCAGACACCUGAAAGGGUGGCUGUAGACAAAUGCAAAUAUAAAUACAACACUAUAUUUUAAAACUUUCAACAACGGAUCUCUUGGCUCUG
rnacentral:misc_RNA from 1 species